GACGUAGGGCGCGAGCGUUGUCCGGAUUUAUUGGGCGUAAAGAGCUCGUAGGCGGCUUGUUGCGUCGGCUGUGAAAACCCGUGGCUUAACUGCGGGCUUGCAGCUGAUACGGGCGGGCUAGAGUUCGGUAGGGGAGACUGGAAUUCCUGGUGUAGCGGUGAAAUGCGCAGAUAUCAGGAGGAACACCGGUGGCGAAGGCGGUUCUCUGGGCAUUACCUGACGCUGAGGAGCGAAAGCGUGGGGAGCGAACAGG
rnacentral:rRNA from 1 species